CCACCAUAUAACAAUGAUUCGCACCUUUUCCGCACUUCCGCGACCGCGCCGACGCCCAUCUCCGCCGCCGUUGUGGCCCGCGCCGUGUAUUCUGCUCUUCCACACGUCCCCUCCACCGGAGAACUCUCGCCACCGAGCUGCCCACCACGUGUUCGACUUCCACGCCGCGCUGCGGCCACAACCGCAGCGGCGUCGCCAUCCAGGCUACAUUUCCACGUAACAGCGGAUCCUCCUCCCCGCACCUGCACGAGGAGUUCCAUCUUUCGAUAGCGACGCCAUCAACCACCACCCGUCGUUAGCCCAACUACGCCAACGGGCAACGGCUGCGGUUCAGGUACGCUCGAACUUUCACCCACCGUGCACCAUCUGUUCGACAAAAUGCCUCUUCAGUGCAGGAAAGCCAUUCCGUCAGCAAUGCUGGCAGCGCCUUCCCCAUACCAGUUUGGACGCAAGCCAGUGGGCAGAGCAGGCUCCUGUGCGUGCCCACUGCUUACCUGAUGCAGGCUAGGUGUUUCAGGAUAGCCUGUGUAUUGAACGUCCGUCGAUGCUGACGGAGCCCUCGAGGCUCCCUUUGGCGAUCCUCCCUGCGAGCGCGUCGAGGAACGUCGACUUGCCGGCGCCGCUGGGGCCGAGGAUCGCCGUGACCUGCCCCCGGAGCGCCUGGCCGGAGAUGUCGUUGAGCAGGAGCCGCUUUGGUGGAUAGCUACGAGUCGUUGAAACAUGGGCGGAUUCUGCAGAGGAUUUGUGACAAUGUGCUUGGCUGCUUGUGGUUUUGUAACAGCAGUGAUAGUUACUGCGACAGCUGGGACUUGAUUUCACGUAAUCAAAUCAAUAGCUCUGACGGCACAAAGAGAGGCGCCAGAGUGAGCUCCCUCUGGUUGUUGCUCAUCACAGAACUAGGGGACUGCAGCAUCUGCAAAGGACAUUGUAUCAAAGAAAAAUUUCAUCUGUGCUUGGAAUGUUGUCAACCACUACACAUCUUUUCUGGGUUACUACUGAUGUUGUGAAAAAUGUCGAAGGAUAAGAAAGGUAGCUGCAUUUAGAAUGCAGAGAAAAUCUUUUUAGUUUCCUUAUCCAGGAGUUACACAUGCAUUACCAUUUGUUUUUAGUUGAUUUCUGGAAAAAGAAAAGGAAACUUACAUUGGGGUACCUAACAAAGGCGGCAGCACUGGCACACUCCUCUACCUCAUCAUGGUCUCCACCUGAAGCUCGUCGCUACGAGCUGCGUGGAACUCCUGCAAGACGCAAGCACAAUGA